AACGAACGCUGGCGGCAUGCCUAACACAUGCAAGUCGAACGAGACCUUCGGGUCUAGUGGCGCACGGGUGCGUAACGCGUGGGAACCUGCCCUUAGGUUCGGAAUAACUCCCCGAAAGGGGUGCUAAUACCGGAUAAUGUCUUCGGACCAAAGAUUUAUCGCCUUUGGAUGGGCCCGCGUUGGAUUAGCUAGUUGGUAGGGUAAAAGCCUACCAAGGCGACGAUCCAUAGCUGGUCUGAGAGGAUGAUCAGCCACACUGGGACUGAGAAACGGCCCAGACUAGUACGGGAGGCAGCAGUGGGGAAUAGUGGAAAAUGGGCGAAAGCAUGAUCAAGCAAUGCCGGGUGAGUGAUGAAGGCGUUAGGGUAGUAAAGCUCUUUUAACCGGGAUGAUAAUGACAGUACCGGGAGAAUAAGCACCGGCUAACUCCGUG
rnacentral:rRNA from 1 species